CCCUUAGAUGUCCUGGGCCGCACGCGCGCUACACUGAGUGUCUGAGAUACGAGUCUGCCUGGUCCGGCAAGGUCUAGGUAAUCGCUAAAAGACACAUCAUGCUUGGGAUAGAUUAUUGAAAUUAUUAAUCUUGAACGAGGAAUUCCUAGUAAACGCAGAUCAUCAAUCUGCAUUGAUUACGUCCCUGCCCUUUGUACACACCGCCCGUCGCACCUACCGAUUGGAUGGUCCGGUGAAGCCUCGGGAUUGUGGUUCUUGCCGCUUUAUUGUGGCGUGACCGCGAGAACUUGUCUAAACCUUAUCAUCUAGAGGAAGGUGAAGUCGUAACA
rnacentral:rRNA from 1 species